GGACCCGUAGCUCAGUUGGUUAGAGCGUCGCGUUCACAUCGCGAAGGUCAGGGGUUCGAGACCUCUCGGGUCCACUA
rnacentral:tRNA from 5 species